rnacentral:rRNA from 1 species
UCGGGAAUUUUGGGCAAUGGGCGAAAGCCUGACCCAGCAACGCCGCGUGAGGGAUGAAGUAUUUCGGUAUGUAAACCUCGAAAGAAUGGGAAGAAUAAAUGACGGUACCAUUUAUAAGCUCCGGCUAACUACGUGCCAGCAGCCGCGGUAAUACGUAGGGAGCAAGCGUUGUUCGGAUUUACUGGGCGUAAAGGGCGCGUAGGCGGCGCGGUAAGUCACUUGUGAAAUCUCUGAGCUUAACUCAGAACGGCCAAGUGAUACUGCUGUGCUAGAGUGCGGAAGAGGCAACCGGAAUUCUUGGUGUAGCGGUGAAAUGCGUAGAUAUCAAUAGGAACACCUGAGGCGAAGGCGGGUUGCUGGGCCGACACUGACGCCGAUGCGCGAAAGCCAGGGGAGCAAACG